rnacentral:rRNA from 1 species
UAAUUUAGAUGGCCUUUGCUAGUUUUCUAGCGAAUGGUUCAUUCUUUUUUACUGUGAACUGUUUUAAUUUUUCAGCGUCUGAGGAAUGUCUUUUAGCCAUAGGGAUAGGCUACUAGAAUGUUAACCGAGCUGAAAGUCAGGCUUAGGCCUGGUAUCCUAUUAAUUAUUUACCAAAAGAAUUCAGUAUUAUAAUUGUAACAUAAGCGUAAAAAACUUAUAAAACAACUUUUAACAACGGAUCUCUUGGUUCUCGCAUCGAUGAAGAACGUAGCAAAGUGCGAUAACUAGUGUGAAUUGCAUAUUCAGUGAAUCAUCGAGUCUUUGAACGCAACUUGCGCUCAAUGGUAUUCCAUUGAGCACGCCUGUUUCAGUAUCAAAAACACCCCACAUUCAUAAUUUUGUUGUGAAUGGAAUUGAGAGUUUCGGCUUUAUUGCUGAAUUCUUUAAAAUUAUUAGGCCUGAACUAUUGUUCUUUCUGCCUGAACAUUUUUUUAAUAUAAAGGAAUGCUCUAGUAAAAAGACUAUCUCUGGGGCCUCCCAAAUAAAUCAUUCUUAAAUUUGAUCUGAAAUCAGGCGGGAUUACCCGCUGAACUUAAGCAUAUCA